rnacentral:rRNA from 1 species
GCGGAGGAAAAGAAACUAACAAGGAUUCCCYUAGUAACUGCGAGUGAAGCGGGAAGAGCUCAAAUUUAAAAUCUGGCGGCCUCCGGUCGUCCGAGUUGUAAUCUGGAGAAGUGUUUUCCGCGCCGGACCGUGCACAAGUCUCUUGGAACAGAGCGUCAUAGAGGGUGAGAAUCCCGUCCAUGGCACGGAACCGCCGGUGCUUUGUGAUACACUCUCGAAGAGUCGAGUUGUUUGGGAAUGCAGCUCAAAAUGGGUGGUAAAUUCCAUCUAAAGCUAAAUAUUGGCGAGAGACCGAUAGCGAACAAGUACCGUGAGGGAAAGAUGAAAAGCACUUUGGAAAGAGAGUUAAACAGUACGUGAAAUUGUUGAAAGGGAAACGCUUGAAGUCAGUCGCGUCGUCCGGGACUCAGCCUUGCUCUUGCUUGGUGUAUUUCCCGUUCGACGGGUCAACAUCGAUUUCGGUCGGCGGAUAAAGGCUUAGGGAAUGUGGCACCUUUCGGGGUGUGUUAUAGCCCUCUGUCGCAUACGUCGGCUGGGAUCGAGGACCGCAGCGCGCCCUUUCCUAGGGCCGGGGGGUUCGCCCCCACGCGACGCGCUUAGGAUGUUGGCAUAAUGGCUUUAAGCGACCCGUCUUG